rnacentral:rRNA from 1 species
AGACCCGAAACCCGGUGAUCUAGCCAUGGGCAGGUUGAAGGUUGGGUAACACUAACUGGAGGACCGAACCGACUAAUGUUGAAAAAUUAGCGGAUGACCUGUGGCUGGGGGUGAAAGGCCAAUCAAACCGGGAGAUAGCUGGUUCUCCCCGAAAGCUAUUUAGGUAGCGCCUCGUGAAUUCAUCUCCGGGGGUAGAGCACUGUUUCGGCUAGGGGGCCAUCCCGGCUUACCAACCCGAUGCAAACUGCGAAUACCGGAGAAUGUUAUCACGGGAGACACACGGCGGGUGCUAACGUCCGUCGUGAAGAGGGAAACAACCCAGACCGCCAGCUAAGGUCCCAAAGUCAUGGUUAAGUGGGAAACGAUGUGGGAAGGCCCAGACAGCCAGGAUGUUGGCUUAGAAGCAGCCAUCAUUUAAAGAAAGCGUAAUAGCUCACUGGUCGAGUCGGCCUGCGCGGAAGAUGUAACGGGGCUAAACCAUGCACCGAAGCUGCGGCAGCGACGCUUAUGCGUUGUUGGGUAGGGGAGCGUUCUGUAAGCCGUUGAAGGUGGCCUGUGAGGGUUGCUGGAGGUAUCAGAAGUGCGAAUGCUGACAUAAGUAACGAUAAAGCGGGUGAAAAGCCCGCUCGCCGGAAGACCAAGGGUUCCUGUCCAACGUUAAUCGGGGCAGGGUGAGUCGACCCCUAAGGCGAGGCCGAAAGGCGUAGUCGAUGGGAAACGGGUUAAUAUUCCCGUACUUGGUGUUACUGCGAAGGGGGGACGGAGAAGGCUAUGUUGGCCGGGCGACGGUUGUCCCGGUUUAAGCGUGUAGGUGUGUGUUCAAGGUAAAUCCGGUUCACUUUAACACUGAGGCGUGAUGACGAGGCACUACGGUGCUGAAGUAACAAAUGCCCUGCUUCCAGGAAAAGCCUCUAAGCAUCAGGUAACAUCAAAUCGUACCCCAAACCGACACAGGUGGUCAGGUAGAGAAUACCAAGGCGCUUGAGAGAACUCGGGUGAAGGAACUAGGCAAAAUGGUGCCGUAACUUCGGGAGAAGGCACGCUGAUAUGUAGGUGAAGCGGUUUACCCGUGGAGCUGAAAUCAGUCGAAGAUACCAGCUGGCUGCAACUGUUUAUUAAAAACACAGCACUGUGCAAACACGAAAGUGGACGUAUACGGUGUGACGCCUGCCCGGUGCCGGAAGGUUAAUUGAUGGGGUCAGCGCAAGCGAAGCUCCUGAUCGAAGCCCCGGUAAACGGCGGCCGUAACUAUAACGGUCCUAAGGUAGCGAAAUUCCUUGUCGGGUAAGUUCCGACCUGCACGAAUGGCGUAAUGAUGGCCAGGCUGUCUCCACCCGAGACUCAGUGAAAUUGAACUCGCUGUGAAGAUGCAGUGUACCCGCGGCAAGACGGAAAGACCCCGUGAACCUUUACUAUAGCUUGACACUGAACAUUGAGCCUUGAUGUGUAGGAUAGGUGGGAGGCUUUGAAGUGUGGACGCCAGUCUGCAUGGAGCCGACCUUGAAAUACCACCCUUUAAUGUUU